rnacentral:rRNA from 1 species
CCAGCAGCCGCGGUAAUUCCAGCUCCAAUAGCGUAUAUUAAAGUUGUUGCAGUUAAAAAGCUCGUAGUUGGAUUUCAAGAGACGCAGCGUGGAUAACACGUCUGCCCUCUACCAGUCUUUGACUGUUACUGUGAAAAAAUUAGAGUGUUCCAGGCGAUCGGUUCGACUGAAUAGAUUAGCAUGGAAUAAUGGAAGAGGACGAAGUUUCCACUUUUGUUGGUCGGUGGAGGACGUUGUAAUGAUUAAGAGGGACAGUUGGGGACAUUCGUAUUUAAUAGCUAGAGGUGAAAUUCAAGGACUUAUGAAAGACGGACUUCUGCGAAAGCAUCUGCCAAGGAUGUUUUCAUUGAUCAAGAACGAAAGU